ACCUUCGGGCCUCUUGCCAUCAGAUGUGCCCAGAUGGGAUUAGCUUGUUGGUGAGGUAACGGCUCACCAAGGCGACGAUCCCUAGCUGGUCUGAGAGGAUGACCAGCCACACUGGAACUGAGACACGGUCCAGACUCCUACGGGAGGCAGCAGUGGGGAAUAUUGCACAAUGGGCGCAAGCCUGAUGCAGCCAUGCCGCGUGUAUGAAGAAGGCCUUCGGGUUGUAAAG
rnacentral:rRNA from 2 species